AAUUCUGCCAGGGCUGAGGAGCUCAGGGAGAUCUGCUGGCAGCAGCACCAGCAGCUCUUUCCUCCACCCAAUUUUUGCAAGGUGCUGGAGGUCAGAGAGGAGCAGAUAGCUCCAGCAAACUGGA
rnacentral:lncRNA from 1 species